rnacentral:rRNA from 1 species
AGAGUUUGAUCCUGGCUCAGGAUAAACGCUGGCGGCGUGCCUAACACAUGCAAGUCGAACGCUCUGAGUAAUCAGAGAGUGGCGGACGGGUGAGGAACACGUGGGUAUCUGCCUUUCGGUGAGGAAUACCGGCGAGAAAUCGCCGACAAUACCGCAUAUCCUUCUCACGAAGGAAAGUCGUAAGACGCCCCAAGAUGAGCCUGCGCCCGAUUAGCUAGCUGGUGGGGUAAAAGCCUACCAGGGCGACGAUCGGUAGCUGGUCUGAGAGGACGAUCAGCCACACUGGGAUUGAGAACGGCCCAGACUCCUACGGGGGGCAGCAGUGAGGAAUUUUCGUCAAUGGCCGAAAGGCUGAACGAGCAACGCCGCGUGCAGGAAGAAGGUUUUCGGAUCGUAAACUGCUUUUCUCUGGGACGAGAAUGGACGGUACCAGAGGAAGAAGCCCCGGCUAACUACGUGCCAGCAGCCGCGGUAAUACGUAGGGGGCGAGCGUUGUCCGGAUUUAUUGGGCGUAAAGGGCGCGUAGGCGGUGCUUUAAGUUUGAAGUGACAGUGGGUGGCUUAACUACCCAAGGCCUUUGAAAACUGGAGCACUUGAGGACCAGAGAGGGACAUAGAAUUCCGGGUGGAGUGGUGAAAUGCGUAGAUAUCCGGAGGAAUACCAAAGGCGAAGGCAGUGUCCUGGAGGGUGACUGACGCUGAGGCGCGAAAGCUAGGGGAGCGAACAGGAUUAGAUACCCUGGUAGUCCUAGCCGUAAACGAUGACCACUAGAUGUGUGGGGUAUCGACCCCUCGCGUGUCGGAGCAAACGUUUGAAGUGGUCCGCCUGGGGAGUACGGUCGCAAGAUUAAAACUUAAAGGAAUUGACGG